GACUAGUAGACUUCACAAUAGGGUGACCAGAUGGCUGGAAGGCUGUUUUUACUGGGAAUCCUUAAAUAGCAUUUUAUGGGGAUCUUUUCCUAGAAGCAGAGGAUGUGGGUGAGGAAGAAUCUCAGUGUAUCCAGAGAAGAAUCUUCCGUUGCCUGCCUGGAUGGAAGUGACACCGAGCUGCUCGUCUUCUCACAGCAGGCAGGCAAUCUGAGGCAGCUGCCAGGGGCAGCCCACGAUCAAGGACCAGCUGCCACCAGGGAAGUUCCGGAUGUGGCCGAGUAUUUCAGUCACUGCAUUCUUCCCAGGCAGUUCACUCUCGGGACAGUUGCCAAGGAGGUGUGAAGGAGAAGGCAGAAAGAAGACUUCCUUUGGGGGGUGCAGUGGGACAACUGAGCUGCAGUUGACUGAGCCCUUGCUGUGUGCUCUCCGUGCUAACGUCCCACAGCUCCUUGAAUCCAGAUCGAAGCAGAAUUCUCUUUCUGAAGAGGACAGCCUGGAAUGCAGAAUUCGCCCUGGGAAAAGCUAACGUUUUAAGAGCCGAGCCUGGGCAACUUUCUCAGUGGGUGCUAUUCCACUGGGGUACUGAGCGUGCAGGGCACCUUACCCGGUCUGUGCCACGCCCACGCCGAGGACCUGCCAUCCCGAGUGAGGCAGAUACGGCGGCUCCAACCUCUACAGUUGCUGAGAAGGUGGUCGCGGCACAUCUAACUAAAGAGGACUCUAAGUGAAAAGUGGAGAAUGGAUCAAGGCAGAGCAAGACUUAGAAGCCAGGAGACUGAUUCGAAGGAUGUUGCAGAAACUUGGACUCUUCAUAAACAUUAUUUUUAAUAAGGGGCAAGCUGUAAAUAAAUAUGCAAACUGUCAGAGAAAAUGAGUCAGAUACUCUGAUUGAAGAGGGUUUCCCAAGCUGCCUGCGUGCAAGAGCAGGUCAGCUGCCCAUCAACAGCAUCUUCUGGGAGAGGCCUGCUCUCAGUGUGGCGGCCCAGUGUUUCGUUGGUUCGAAUCCUGGGCGCGGACAUGGCACUGCUCAUCAGACCACGCUGAGGCAGCGUCCCACAUGCCACAACUAGAAGAACC
rnacentral:lncRNA from 1 species